rnacentral:rRNA from 1 species
AUUGAACGCUGGCGGCAGGCCUAACACAUGCAAGUCGAGCGGCAGCGGGAAAGUAGCUUGCUACUCUUGCCGGCGAGCGGCGGACGGGUGAGUAAUGCCUGGGAAAUUGCCCAGUCGAGGGGGAUAACAGUUGGAAACGACUGCUAAUACCGCAUACGCCCUACGGGGGAAAGCAGGGGACCUUCGGGCCUUGCGCGAUUGGAUAUGCCCAGGUGGGAUUAGCUAGUUGGUGAGGUAAUGGCUCACCAAGGCGACGAUCCCUAGCUGGUCUGAGAGGAUGAUCAGCCACACUGGAACUGAGACACGGUCCAGACUCCUACGGGAGGCAGCAGUGGGGAAUAUUGCACAAUGGGGGAAACCCUGAUGCAGCCAUGCCGCGUGUGUGAAGAAGGCCUUCGGGUUGUAAAGCACUUUCAGCGAGGAGGAAAGGUUGAUGCCUAAUACGUAUCAGCAUUGACGUUACCCACAGAAGAAGCACCGGCUAACUCCGUGCCAGCCGCCGCCGUAAGAC